CCCAGACUCCUACGGGAGGCAGCAGUGGGGGAUAUUGCACAAUGGGGGAAACCCUGAUGCAGCGACGCCGCGUGGGUGAAGAAGCGCCUCGGCGCGUAAAGCCCUGUCAGCAGGGAAGAAAAUGACGGUACCUGACUAAGAAGCCCCGGCUAAAUACGUGCCAGCAGCCGCGGUAAUACGUAUGGGGCAAGCGUUAUCCGGAUUUACUGGGUGUAAAGGGAGCGUAGGCGGCCUGGCAAGCCUGAUGUGAAAUACCGGGGCCCAACCCCGGGGCUGCAUUGGGAACUGCCAGGCUGGAGUGCCGGAGAGGCAGGCGGAAUUCCUAGUGUAGCGGUGAAAUGCGUAGAUAUUAGGAGGAACACCAGUGGCGAAGGCGGCCUGCUGGGCUUUUACUGACGCUGAGGCUCGAAAGUGUGGGGAGCAAACAGGAUUAGAUACCCGAGUAGU
rnacentral:rRNA from 1 species